CUUUUUAAUAAUCUAAAGCACCCUUUCCACUAUAAAUAACCAUUUUGCAAAUUAAUGUUUAAGGUUCUUAAUGAAACCAUCCAUGCAAAUAAAGAACCUUUAUUUUUAAGUGCAAGAACAAUUUUAGGUUCUCCAAAGAACUAUUCUUAAAAGAUCUAGUUUUUCUUAGUGGGAGGAAUAUUUUGAAAAUCUAAAGAACCUUCUUCCACUGUUAAGAACCUUUUGUGGAAUGAAAGGAAUUCAUGAAUGCUUAAGGUUUUUCGCUGAAACAGUGAUGUCAAUGAAGAGGCUUUAUUUUUAGGAGUGUAGGCUCUGAUAGUGUAGUUACAGCAUUAGCAAGGGUUAAUGGGACCGUGUUAACCAGCUAAACCUCAUUAGGGACAGGCUUAGGACUAUGUUUAUUUGACAGGAAUCUUGUUUCACAGGGUUUCUACACCUUUUGACCAAUGAAUUUCCAUGACUUUUCCAGUUGCUUGUGUUUUUUGGAUAUUUUUUUUUUUUUUUUUUUUUUUUUUUUUUUUUUAGGAACAGAGAUUGCACCCACAAAGAGCAAUUUCUAACUGAUGCAAUAUAUUAAAGAUAAGCAUAAAUGAUUUUCCAUUGUUUCCAUUAUAGAAUGGGGUUGAAAUUGGAUCAGGUUUUUAUGUGAUUCCAGGUGGAGCGAGAGAUGUUGAUCCAAGAAAGCAUCCUCCUUGCGGGCACUGUGUUACACGUAAUGCAUGCAGAGAUACACACAGUCCUGCUGUCACACACACACACACACACACACACACUCAGAUACAGAUGGACAGACGUGCCACAGAAGGCAGCAUACGGUUCCUUGAGGCUAUUAAACGCCGGCCGCCGCGUCACUCGAUGCCCUAAAGGCCUGACAGACAACACUAGUACAAGCAAACACUCUCUGAUAUCCACUGACCGGUUCAGCCAAUGGUGUGUAAACAUUCAGCAGUAAAAGCAGAUGCAUCGCAUGUGUUUGAAUGCGAUGGCCCGCGGCACGCCUCAGGCUUUCCCAGCAGUCUCUGCGCUGCCAGUUCUCCACGAGUGGAUGCUCACGGCAGACAUUAAGCGGUUAAUGCUCAACUAGUUUAGUGAUAUCACAUGCGGGGUUAUUGACCACAUCCUCCUCCUCACAGCGGAUGGUUGAGCUUUUAGAUGUGUAUCUGCACCAUUCAUUGACCUUCUCCGUCUUAAACAAACAUUGUGUAAUCAGUCACGGGAAUACUCAAGCAAUAUGAAUCAAUUUGGAAAAAAGACUUUCCACAUUAGUGCUGCUGUCAAGCACAAAUUACAAUGAAAGCAUGCUGAUGAAAUGAGCUGAUUGGAAAAGGUUUGACUAAAGCAGGGCCAUUGCUAGAAAUACAUGUUUUUUGGGUUCCUCUCAGUUCCUGCAGUGUUGUGGAUGGUAAAUCAGAGACUGUCACUCAAAGCUGAAAUACCUGGACACUGUCUCUCUGAAACCAGGCUGACAAAGAGAGGCCAGAGAGACAAGAGCAGUCGACAGGAGCGCAGGGACUGUGCCGCCGCAAGCAGCGCUGCAGUAUUAAAGAGCAUCAGAAAGCUCAGGAGCACACAGAACCCACAUCCACUGAAAGACUGAAAAAAAUGACAUCAGUUCCAAAUCUGCAUUUUUAUUCCAAUCUCACAAAUUCCCUCCAGUUCUGUCAUGAACUUCAGUUUGUGUGUAUUUCACAACAGCUUUGAAUGCAGCUCAUCCGAGUCAUAACUGUCUGUUUAUAUACUGUACAGUAGUGAAGUUUGUCCUUUAUUCAAACAUAUUAUUAAAAAUGUCUUAAUGAUUUUGUAAGCAUAUUACAUAGUUGUGCUUGGUGUUAUUUUAGUAUCAGUGAUAUAGUAUUACAUUUUUUGUUAUGUUAUUAUUAGAUUUUAUUUUUUAUAUUUUAUUUUUUUUAUUUGAAUUUAAGUAGAAGUUUUAGUAAUUGUAAUAAUGUAGUGUUUUUGUCAUUAUAAUUGUUAUUUUAACUAGGUUUUUAGUAAAUUUGAGUUUUGUUUUCAUUAUUUCAGUACUUCCACUUAAACUAAAUCAAAAUGAGAACUGUUGCCUGGUCAAAUAGUUGAAAUAAAAUGUUUAUUUAUUUUUAUUUAUUUAUUUUA
ensembl:lncRNA